rnacentral:rRNA from 1 species
ACAUACGACCAAACCCACAGGGAAACUCGGGAUCCCGUCCGCUCUCCCAUAGAUAAGCCAGUGAUGGCCGGAUUAGUAUUUGGAUCGGUGACGACCAGCGAAUACCUGGUGUUGUAUGUC